rnacentral:rRNA from 1 species
UUUGAGGUUGGGUUCGCCCUUCAACUGCCAGCAGGUUUACCUUGAAUAAAUCAGAGUGCUCAAUACAGGCGCUUGCUUGAAUAGCUCAUCAUGGAAUAAUGAAACAGGACUUCGGUUCUUUUUGUUGGUUCUAGAAUUGAUCUAAUGGUUAAGAGGGACAAACCGGGGGCAUUCGUAUCAUUACGCGAGAGGUGAAAUUCGUGGACCGUAGUGAGACGCCCAAUAGCGAAAGCAUUUGCCAAGAAUGUCUUCAUUAAUCAAGAACGAAAGUCAGAGGUUCGAAGGCGAUUAGAUACCGCCCUAGUUCUGACCGUAAACGAUGCCAUCUCGCGAUUCGGAGGGUUCAUGCCCUACCGAGGAGCUACCCGGAAACGAAAGUCUUUCGGUUCCGGGGGUAGUAUGGUUGCAAAGCUGAAACUUAAAGAAAUUGACGGAAGGGCACCACAAGGCGUGGAGCUUGCGGCUUAAUUUGACUCAACACGGGAAAACUCACCCGGUCCGGACACUAUUAGGACUGACAGAUUGAAAGCUCUUUCUCGAUUUGGUGGUUGGUGGUGCAUGGCCGUUCUUAGUUGGUGGAGUGAUUUGUCUGGUUUAUUCCGAUAACGAGCGAGACUCUAGCCUGCUAAAUAGUCGACGAAUCUUCGGGUUCGUAUAACUUCUUAGAGGGAUAAGCGGUGUUUAGCCGCACGAGAUUGAGCGAUAACAGGUCUGUGAUGCCCUUAGAUGUCCGGGGCUGCACGCGUGCUACACUGGUGGAGUCAGCGGGUUUUUCCUAUGCCGAAAGGUAUCGGUAAACCGUUGAACUUCUUCCAUGUCCGGGAUAGGGUAUUGUAAUUAUUACCCUUAAACGAGGAAUGCCUAGUAAGUGUGAGUCAUCAGCUCACGUUGAUUACGUCCCUGCCCUUUGUACACACCGCCCGUCGCUAUCCGGGACUGAACUGAUUCGAGAAGAGUGGGGACUGUGGCUGCGAGGUUUUACCACUUCGCAGUUGCGGAAACCAUUUUUAUCGCAUUGGUUUGAACCGGGUAAAAGUCGUAACAAGGUAGCUGUAGGUGAACCUGCAGCUG